rnacentral:miRNA from 1 species
GCAGACACAUUCCAGCCAAUCAGCAGCAGACCCUCCCUCCCAGACCCUCCACCUCCUGGACAGCUCACUAAGAAGCUGCAUUCUUAGUGAGCUGUCCAGGAGGUGGGAGGGUCUGGGAGGGAGGGUCUGCUGCUGAUUGGCUGGAAUGUGUCUG